GUGAUUAGAUAUUUCGUAUCCUGAUCAAAAAGAACCAUGUUAGACACAUGCUUGAUUCUUACAUAAUACAUUGACUUGAGCAAUAACACAUGAACAAUGAAGGGAUACAUAUAGCAAGACCAGUACAACAUAGUCCAAUCUACCUUAAUCAACCAAAGAGAUUUACUAUACCUGAGAGAAGGCGCAUGCUCGAA
rnacentral:antisense_RNA from 1 species